GGUUAAGUGACUAAGCGUAUACGGUGGAUGCCUUGGCAGUCAGAGGCGAUGAAGGACGUAGUAACUUGCGAAAAGCGUUGGCGAGCUAGUAACAAGCAUUUGAGCUAACGAUGUCCGAAUGGGGAAACCCGGCACCAUAAGGUGUCAUCACUAAGUGAAUACAUAGCUUAGUGAGGCGAACGAGGGGAACUGAAACAUCUAAGUACCCUUAGGAAAAGAAAUCAACCGAGAUUCCCCUAGUAGCGGCGAGCGAACGGGGAUUAGCCCUUAAGCCUAGAGGGUGUUAGUGGAAUGUGUUGGAAAGCACAGCGAUACAGGGUGAUAGCCCCGUACAUGAAAACUAACUUUAGGUGAAAACGAGUAGGACGGGACACGUGAUAUCUUGUUCGAAUAUGGGGGGACCAUCCUCCAAGGCUAAAUACUCCUGACUGACCGAUAGUGAACCAGUACCGUGAGGGAAAGGCGAAAAGAACCCCUGUGAGGGGAGUGAAAUAGAACCUGAAACCGUAUACGUACAAGCAGUGGGAGCGGUUCUUGAGACCGUGACUGCGUACCUUUUGUAUAAUGGGUCAGCGACUUACAUUUUGUAGCGAGGUUAAGCGAAUAGCGGAGCCGUAGGGAAACCGAGUGUUAACUGCGCGUUUAGUUGCAAGGUGUAGACCCGAAACCCGGUGAUCUAGCCAUGGGCAGGUUGAAGGUUGAGUAACAUCAACUGGAGGACCGAACACACGUAUGUUGAAAAAUGCGGUGAUGACUUGUGGCUGGGGGUGAAAGGCCAAUCAAACCGGGAGAUAUCUGGUUCUCCUCGAAAGCUAUUUAGGUAGCGCCUCGAGCGAAUACCAUUGGGGGUAGAGCACUGUUAAGGCUAGGGGGUCAUCCCGACUUACCAACCCUUUGCAAACUCCGAAUACCAAUGAGUACUACUCGGGAGACACACGGCGGGUGCUAACGUCCGUCGUGAAAAGGGAAACAACCCAGACCAUCAGCUAAGGUCCCAAAGUUAUUGCUAAGUGGGAAACGAUGUGGGAAGGCUUAGACAGCUAGGAUGUUGGCUUAGAAGCAGCCAUCAUUUAAAGAAAGCGUAAUAGCUCACUAGUCGAGUCGGCCUGCGCGGAAGAUAUAACGGGGCUAAGCAAUACACCGAAGCUAUGGGUACUAGCGCUUGCGCUGGUGCGGUAGAGGAGCGUUCUGUAAGCCGUUGAAGGUGAAGGGGUAACCCACGCUGGAGGUAUCAGAAGUGCGAAUGCUGACAUGAGUAACGAUAAAGGGGGUGAAAAACCUCCUCGCCGAAAGACCAAGGGUUCCUGUCCAACGUUAAUCGGGGCAGGGUGAGUCGACCCCUAAGGCGAGGCCGAAAGGCGUAGUCGAUGGGAAACGGGUUAAUAUUCCCGUACUUCUGCUAACUGCGAUGGAGAGACGGAGAAGGCUAGGCUAGCGCGGCGUUGGUUGUCCGCGUUUAAGGCUGUAGGUAGGGUACUUAGGCAAAUCCGGGUACCUAAUACUGAGAGUUGAUGACGAGUCACUACGGUGAUGAAGUAGUUGAUGCCAUGCUUCCAGGAAAAUCUUCUAAGCUUCAGGUUAGUAGGAAUCGUACCCCAAACCGACACAGGUGGUCGGGUAGAGAAUACCAAGGCGCUUGAGAGAACUCGGCUGAAGGAACUAGGCAAAAUGGUACCGUAACUUCGGGAGAAGGUACGCUCCUGUUGGUGAUGAGACUUGCUCUCUAAGCUGACGGGAGUCGCAGAUACCAGGUGGCUGCAACUGUUUAUCAAAAACACAGCACUGUGCAAAAUCGCAAGAUGACGUAUACGGUGUGACGCCUGCCCGGUGCCGGAAGGUUAAUUGAUUGGGUUAUCUUCGGAGAAGCUCAUGAUCGAAGCCCCGGUAAACGGCGGCCGUAACUAUAACGGUCCUAAGGUAGCGAAAUUCCUUGUCGGGUAAGUUCCGACCUGCACGAAUGGCGUAAUGAUGGCCACGCUGUCUCCAGCCGAGACUCAGUGAAGUUGAAAUUGCGGUGAAGAUGCCGUAUACCCGCGGCUAGACGGAAAGACCCCGUGAACCUUUACUAUAGCUUGGCACUGAACAUUGACCCUACAUGUGUAGGAUAGGUGGGAGACUUUGAAGCGGGAACGCCAGUUCUCGUGGAGUCAUCCUUGAAAUACCACCCUUGUAGUGUUGAUGUUCUAACUCUGGCCCCUGAAUCGGGGUUGAGGACAGUGCCUGGUGGGUAGUUUGACUGGGGCGGUCUCCUCCCAAAGAGUAACGGAGGAGCACGAAGGUUGGCUAAGUACGGUCGGACAUCGUACGGUUAGUGCAAUGGCAUAAGCCAGCUUAACUGCGAGACAUACACGUCGAGCAGGUGCGAAAGCAGGUCAUAGUGAUCCGGUGGUUCUGAAUGGAAGGGCCAUCGCUCAACGGAUAAAAGGUACUCCGGGGAUAACAGGCUGAUACCGCCCAAGAGUUCAUAUCGACGGCGGUGUUUGGCACCUCGAUGUCGGCUCAUCACAUCCUGGGGCUGAAGUCGGUCCCAAGGGUAUGGCUGUUCGCCAUUUAAAGUGGUACGCGAGCUGGGUUCAGAACGUCGUGAGACAGUUCGGUCCCUAUCUGCCGUGGGCGUUGGAUGAUUGAAGGGAGCUGCUCCUAGUACGAGAGGACCGGAGUGGACGAACCGCUGGUGUUCGGGUUGUCAUGCCAAUGGCAUUGCCCGGUAGCUACGUUCGGAAUCGAUAACCGCUGAAAGCAUCUAAGCGGGAAGCGAGCCCUAAGAUGAGUCAUCCCUAGACCUUUAAGGUCUCUAAAGAGCCGUCCGAGACUAGGACGUUGAUAGGCAGGGUGUGUAAGCGUUGUGAGGCGUUGAGCUAACCUGUACUAAUGACUCGUGAGGCUUAACCAUACAACCCAAAAGGGUUUCGUACGAUGGUUUUACGUAAUCAAAAGAAUACAAAAGUACUUGAUUGAAGUGAGGUCAUAAAUUGCUCCUGCAUUUAUGACAUACAGUACAUCCGUGUACUAAAACUCAGAUUGACUCUU
rnacentral:rRNA from 1 species